rnacentral:rRNA from 1 species
AACGAACGCUGGCGGCAUGCCUAACACAUGCAAGUCGAACGAAGGCUUCGGCCUUAGUGGCGCACGGGUGCGUAACGCGUGGGAAUCUGCCCUUUGGUUCGGAAUAACAGCUGGAAACGGCUGCUAAUACCGGAUGAUGACGAAAGUCCAAAGAUUUAUCGCCAGAGGAUGAGCCCGCGUUGGAUUAGGUAGUUGGUGGGGUAAAGGCCUACCAAGCCGACGAUCCAUAGCUGGUCUGAGAGGAUGAUCAGCCACACUGGGACUGAGACACGGCCCAGGCUCCUACGGGAGGCAGCAGUGGGGGAUAUUGGACAAUGGGCGCAAGCCUGAUCCAGCAAUGCCGCGUGAGUGAUGAAGGCCCUAGGGUUGUAAAGCUCUUUUACCCGGGAAGAUAAUGACUGUACCGGGAGAAUAAGCCCCGGCUAACUCCGUG